UCUUUUCAUUAGAUAUUGUAGGAAGACUGCAGCAAUUAACUGGUUUUAUCAAGAUAUAUGAUCAUUUGAUUGGUAUCUGUUAAUUCUUGCGGUAAAAAUCAGGCUACCCACAAUAUCGAGGUUGAUUUUGCUUGCUGUGUUGACGACAUGGGGGCGAGGUGGGUUGUUUUCAGAAUAGAAACACACAGCAUGCUCUGUUUACCUCCUAGUCCUGCCUUGAUCCUAGCUAAUCCUCUGAGCUAAUCUUCCCAAUCAUGAGUGAGAGCCAAGAGGAAAGACAGGAAUAGUCAGACUGUUACACCACUUUUUGCCAUUCAAGCCUUUCAAUGGAAGGAGAAGUCUCAGUGCUUUGAACCAUCAUCGGCCUUGAGGCAGGAGAUCCUUGGGGUUAGGACCAUGUGUACCACUUUGGCGGUCCUCACCACCAUCGCUCUGAUCCUGCGGCAGAGAUUCUCCAACAAAAUCAAACCGCAGACAGAGGAGACAGACGUGCCAUACACAAAGAGCAAUGGAGCAGCAGAAACCCAAAAAUGACAACAGUGAACAUCACAGGACAUGACCAGAGUAGGCCAUCAUCUCAAGUCUGGUGAGCAUCAGACUCUGAUUUAUCUGCACUUGACAGCUCACACCAAGACUCCCACCAGGAUUUAAAAAAAAAAAAAAGAAAAAAAAAAGAAGAAAAGUGGGGCUUGAAAAACAACGAGGCCUGUUUUCAUCAUGGCUUCCCCUAUCUGUCCUGCAGACGCUCUCACCACUGGAACAAGAAACAGUGACUCCGGGGUGAAUUCCAGCUCAGAAGUUGAAGCCUGACAAAUGCCAUGCACUGAUCAUGAAAAUUUACAACACUGUCACUUCAAAGUCGGGUAUAUGAUCAGAAGGUGAUAAACAUGUUAUGUGCCUCUGCAUAAAAACAAGCAGUAAUAAUUUCUUUGAUUUCCUGCUUUUGCUCGCUUUUAAAAAUAAUGAUCUGUGUUACAUGUAUGUAUGAGGACAGGAUGAGCUGUGAUGGAUGUUUCUUAAAGAGUAGUGUCUCUUAAUAUCGCAUAAGUGACCUAAUUUCUUGAGAAAAAGGGGCUGAAGUCAUGCAUUGUAUUGUAAUGUAUUGCAUGUAUAUCAAUUCUGUGAAUCCCUUAAAGGUUUGUUGUUCAGACAGGAGCCCAAAAAUAAAGCAAUGGAAUGCAUUUGA